UACGUAGGGAGCAAGCGUUGUCCGGAAUCAUUGGGCGUAAAGCGCGCGUAGGCGGCCCUGUAAGUCCGUUGUGAAAGUCAAAGGCUCAACCUUUGAAAGCCGAUGGAUACUGCAGGGCUAGAGUCCGGAAGAGGCGAGUGGAAUUCCUGGUGUAGCGGUGAAAUGCGCAGAUAUCAGGAGGAACACCAAUGGCGAAGGCAGCUCGCUGGGACGUGACUGACGCUGAGACGCGAAAGCCAGGGGAGCAAACGGG
rnacentral:rRNA from 1 species